UACGUAGGGGGCAAGCGUUGUCCGGAUUUACUGGGCGUAAAGAGCGUGUGAGCGGCCAAACAGGUCCGUUGUGAAAACUGGAGGCUCAACCUCCAGACGUCGACGGAAACCGUGUGGCUAGAGUCCGGAAGAGGAGAGUGGAAUUCCUGGUGUAGCGGUGAAAUGCGCAGAUAUCAGGAAGAACACCUAUGGCGAAGGCAGCUCUCUGGGACGGUACUGACGCUGAGACGCGAAAGCGUGGGGAGCGAACAGG
rnacentral:rRNA from 1 species